CACGCCCACUAGAGCAAUUCAUUCCCACCACUGCACCGUACACCUCCACCCCCACUGCACCAUAAAACCACCAUCGCACCCACAGCACCACAGUAGAACAUCACCUUUGUACCCACCAGAACUCUCUGUUUUCAUCACCGCACCACACAUCUCCAUCACCAUCGAACCACAGAACCAUCACCAAACCGUCAAUCACCACAAUACUCAAAAAUUUUAAAAAGGAAGAAUAGAUUUGCAACGUGCAAUUCGUCGGAGUGAGUUUCAUGAGGAGUCGCGUGGAGUGGGUGAAAUAAAGUAGAGGGGAGAUCUACAGCACCGGCCACCUGUCCCAACAUGAAGUGCUCCAUACCAUCCCACCAUCAUCGUCGUUCGCUUUGUGCAGUGGAGAUCAACACCCAUAAUCACUGCAAAUAGCACAAAAGAAACCAUUGAAAAUCAAACACAAGGGGAAAAAGAAGAAGAAGAAGGCAAUGAGCGUCACUAAUUCAAAGAAAAGGCGAUGAGUGCACGACGCUCCGAGGUGGUGGCCUACGUCGGACUGUGAUGAUAGUGUCUCCAGCGAUGACGGG
rnacentral:lncRNA from 1 species